rnacentral:rRNA from 1 species
GUACCUACGGGACGCAGCAGUGGGGAAUAUUGCACAAUGGGGGAAACCCUGAUGCAGCGACGCCGCGUGAGUGAAGAAGUAUUUCGGUAUGUAAAGCUCUAUCAGCAGGGAAGAAAAAAGACGGUACCUGACUAAGAAGCCCCGGCUAACUACGUGCCAGCAGCCGCGGUAAUACGUAGGGGGCAAGCGUUAUCCGGAUUUACUGGGUGUAAAGGGAGCGUAGACGGGGCGUCAAGUCUGAAGUGAAAGCCCUGGGCUUAACACCG